GGUGUUUCUGAAGGAGGAAGCUGGUCGCAAGCGAAGCGUUCGUGAUGAAGCCAAACCACUGUCGGUGGUAGAUGAAGCCUUGCCGAUUGAAAAGUUUCAUUGCCCUGUUUCGUUCAACACGGCAUUCCAAAACAUAUCUGAUGACUUCAAGCAAGUCUCCGUCACCCUGGAUGUGGAAACAGCGCAUGCGCUGCUCGAGGUGUCUGAGGAUCGGAAGAGGGUGAGAUGGACCGGGACCCGGAGGCGUCUCCCAGACACCGGGAAGAGGUUUACAGUCUGGCCGUGUGUGCUGGGAUCGGAGGAAUUCAAAUCGGGUAGACAUUACUGGGAGGUGGAGGUGGCGAGGUGCCAUUACUGGAGUCUGGGAGUCGCCGCAGAGUCUGUGGAGAGGAAGACACGUGUCAGACCGUCCCCGGAGACUGGAUUCUGGAGCAUCUGGCGGCAGGGUGACAGGUUUGAUGCAUUCACCUCCCCUGCAUCCCGUAUCUCCGCCCGUCCCAU